rnacentral:rRNA from 1 species
AUUUCAACGGCCGCGGUAUCCUAACCGUGCAAAGGUAGCAUAAUCAUUUGCCUCCUAAUUAGAGGCUGGAAUGAAAGGACAAACGAAAUUCUUACUGUAUCUUUCCCACUUCUAAAAAUUAUAUUUCAGGUGAAGAUCCCUGAAUCAAAUUGACAGACAAGAAGACCCUAUAGAGUUUUAGUUUUAAACUAUUCCCUUUAUACUAUUAAACUUUGGUUGGGGCGACCUAGGAUUUUCUCUAACAUCCUUUACAUAUAAAGACCCAUACAUCUUUCUACUGAUCCUCCUCCCUAGACUCCAGAAUAAACUACCUUAGGGAUAACAGGCUUAUCUUCCUAGAGAGCCCAAAUUGAUAGGAAGGUCUGGCACCUCGAUGUUGGCUUAGAGUAACCCAAUAACGCAAAAGUUAUUACUGGUCGGUUUGUUCAACCGUUAAUUCUCUACGUGAUC